AUCUGUAUCCAAGAAUAUUGAUAUAAACACUCAACAGUGCUACAGCUGAAAAGGUCUGCCUAGAAGACCACACCAGAGUAUAAAUCCAACUAUGUCAUUAACUAUUCAAGCUCCAACACUGUCUCUUCAUCUACAUUUAAAAAAAAAGGGGGGGGGGGGAUAUCACAUCUCCUAUCUAAGUAGGAGCUUUGGAUAUUAAAUGAGACAGUUCAUAUAACAAUGCAUUAUAUAAGGUAAUGUUAGAUUCUUCCUCUUUAAUAGGAAAA